CCUACGGGGGGCAGCAGUGAGGAAUAUUGGUCAAUGGGCUUACGCCUGAACCAGCCAAGUCGCGUGAGGGAAGACUGCCCUAUGGGUUGUAAACCUCUUUUGUCAGGGAGCAAUUUGCGCUACGUGUAGCGUUAUCGAUAGUACCUGAAGAAAAAGCAUCGGCUACCUCCGUGCCAGCAGCCGCGGUAAUACGGAGGAUGCGAGGGUUAUCCGGAUUUAUUGGGUUUAAAGGGUGCGUAGGCGGAAUGCCAAGUCAGCGGUAAAAUCGCGGGGCUCAACCUCGCUCCGCCGUUGAAACUGGCGGUCUUGAGUGGGCGAGAAGUAGGCGGAAUGCGUGGUGUAGCGGUGAAAUGCAUAGAUAUCACGCAGAACUCCGAUUGCGAAGGCAGCAUACCGGCGCCCAACUGACGCUGAAGCACGAAAGCGUGGGUAUCGAACAGGAUUAGAUACCCUUGUAGUC
rnacentral:rRNA from 1 species